GACGAACGCUGGCGGCGUGCUUAACACAUGCAAGUCGAACGGAAAGGCCCUGCUUUUGUUGGGUUCUCGAGUGGCGAACGGGUGAGUAACACGUGAGUAACCUGCCCUUGACUGUGGGAUAACUUCUGGAAACUGGGGCUAUUACCGGAUAGGAGAUCCUGCUGCAUGUUGGGGGUUGGAAAGUUUCGGCGGUUGGGGAUAGACUCGCGGCUUAUCAGCUUGUUGGUGGGGUAGGGGCUUACCCAGGCUUUGACGGGUAGCCGGCCUGAGAGGGUGACCGGCCACAUUGGGACUGAGAUACGGCCCAGACUGCUACGGGAGGCAGCAGUGGGGAAUAGUGCACAAUGGGCGGAAGCCUGAUGCAGCAACGCCGCGUGCGGGAUGACGGCCUUCGGGGUGUAAACCGCUUUCGCCUGUGACGAAGCGUGAGUGACGGUAAUGGGUAAAGAAGCACCGGCUAACUACGUG
rnacentral:rRNA from 1 species